AACUUGUUUCCAUUUUGAUUUGUGAGUUGUGAGUUUCCUACGUAGUUCUCUUUGGUUGUUGUGCGAACGAUAAUAAACGGUGCUCGUGCUUGUCCUCUUGCUGUCGCCAUUCUCGGCGAUUCGAAGCGCAAAACCACUGCAAUCCAUACCAAUUUUGUGUCUUGAUCCAUAACCUCAAGCUGUGGAUAUGAAUUGGGUUCAGCAUAAGAUCUACCUUUACAAUGUGACUUUUGGGCUUUAUAUGUUGGAUUGGUGGGAGCGUUGUACUUUCAAUAUUUUGGUGUUUGUAUUAAUGUGUUUCGUUAUACGAUAUGCUACUCAAUUCAUCAAGAGGUAUGUUUAGUAAGAAGCAAAACCAUUCUCACGAGAAUAAGCAAAUGUAGAUGGUUACUUGGGAAUUUAAAUUAGUUGCAGCCGGUGUAUUUGGUAUAGCUGACUAGGGAAUAUCUUGAUUUAGAAUGACUUGGAAUUUCUUAAAGCUACCCAUAAAUUGCGCUUCUCAUGCCUACUACUAUACACCCUCAUGAAUCUUAUUUGAACAUUUCUUUUCUUAUAAGCUUGUAUUGUAUGCCAAGUGGUAUUCUUUACAUUGUAAUAAUUAUUGGGAAUGUUCAAUGCUAAGUUUUGACUUUUGAAGAGUGGAAA